GAUGAACGCUGGCGGCGUGCCUAAUACAUGCAAGUCGAGCGAACAGACGAGGAGCUUGCUCCUCUGACGUUAGCGGCGGACGGGUGAGUAACACGUGGAUAACCUACCUAUAAGACUGGGAUAAUUUCGGGAAACCGGAGCUAAUCCCGGAUAAUAUAUUGAACCGCAUGGUUCAAUAGUGAAAGACGGUUUUGCUGUCACUUAUCGAUGGAUCCGCGCGGCAUUAGCUAGUUGGUAAGGUAACGGGUUACCAAGGCAACGAUGCGUAGCCGACCGGAGAGGGUGAUCGGCCACCCUGGAACUGGGACACGGUCCAGACUCCUACGGGAGGCAGCAGUAGGGAAUCUUCCGCAAUGGGCGAAAGCUUGACGGAGCAACGCCGCGUGAGUGAUGAAGGUCUUCGGAUCGUAAAACUCUGUUAUUAGGGAAGAACAAAUGUGUAAGUAACUAUGCACGUCUUGACGGUACCUAAUCAGAAAGCCACGGCUAACUACGUG
rnacentral:rRNA from 1 species